GCGCCUAACACAUGCAAGUCGCACGAGAAAGUGGAGCAAUCCAUGAGUACAGUGGCGUACGGGUGAGUAACACGUGGAUCAUCUACCUCUUAGUGGGGAAUAACCCUGGGAAACCGGGGCUAAUACCGCAUAAGCUCGAGAGAGGAAAGCAGCAAUGCGCUGAGAGAGGAGUCCGCGGCCGAUUAGCUAGUUGGCAGGGUAAAAGCCUACCAAGGCAAAGAUCGGUAGCCGGCCUGAGAGGGCACACGGCCACACUGGCACUGAAACACGGGCCAG
rnacentral:rRNA from 1 species